rnacentral:rRNA from 1 species
GACGAACGCUGGCGGCGUGCUUAACACAUGCAAGUCGAACGGAAAGGCCUGCUUUCCCUCGUGGAUUGCGGGUACUCGAGUGGCGAACGGGUGAGUAACACGUGAGUGAUCUGCCCCCAACUUGGGUAUAAGCCUGGGAAACUGGGUCUAAUUCCCGAUAGGACUGCAGGGUGGUGCCUGUGGUGGAAAACGAUUUUCUAGUGGUUGGGGAUGAGCUCGCGGCCUAUCAGCUUGUUGGUGGGGUAAUGGCCUACCAAGGCGGCGACGGGUAGCCGGCCUGAGAGGGUGGACGGCCACAUUGGGACUGAGAUACGGCCCAGACUCCUACGGGAGGCAGCAGUGGGGAAUAGUGCACAAUGGGCGGAAGCCUGAUGCAGCGACGCCGCGUGGGGGAUGACGGCCUUCGGGUUGUAAACUCCUUUCGACCGCGAGGAAGCCACCUGGUUGGAAGGGUGGUGACGGUAGUGGUAGAAGAAGCACCGGCUAACUACGUG